UUUGCACACCAACCCAAAAGUCACAUGAUCCCAGUGAUGUGAUUUUUUUCUGGUGUGCAGAAAGCAAAUGUGAUCCUUGUCGCCUUUCUCUGAUGCUGCAGUGCCUUUGAAAGUGAAUUCAAGGAUUGACAUUG